rnacentral:lncRNA from 1 species
UGUUCUGAUUUUAUAGUUGACACCUACCGCGAAAUUCAAAAAUGGAACGAAACGAAACGCAGUAAUAUCGUCGUGGCUUAUUUGAUUUACCUACCCAAUUAAUAUUUUUCACUAGGUGACCCGGCAGACGUUUAUGUUUUAAUGGAGGAUGGAGGAUUUCGUUUGUGCAACUAGCGGUAAACAUGUAUGUAACAAAAAAGAUUUUAUUAAUAAAUGUUUCUUACCUAAGUCUGUAUUGAAAUUUUCACAACACAAUUCCUUUCCAAUUUCUUCCCAGGCUUUAUUUUUUGCGUCCUUAUUCUUAUAAAAAUCAUCGGCCGGGUCCCAUAAACAUCUUCUAAUUCGCACUUCGUCAAUUACUCGACCCGUAUCGAUGUGAUUCAUUUUGUACACAACAGUACCUAACGGCACGUCUCAACGGCGUGAGACUAAAACGCACAAUGGCCGUAGAAGCGCACGAGCGGCGCGCGCUUCGACCGCGUCGCGCGAAUAGGACGCGUUCAACGAACGGCGCUGCUCAAGCGCGCGAAUUUGAAACGCUACUAAUACCCCAAUACAUAUCCGAGCGCGCGCGCUCCGACGGCGCUGCCGAAACGCGUGACUGUAAAACCAGCCU